rnacentral:sRNA from 1 species
UUUUUCUGAAGCUGCGACUUUUCUUUCCUCAAAAGUAGGCUUUGCUCGAUCGAGUAGAGGGUCGAGUGAGUCUGAAGGUUGAUCAAGUUUAAUUGGUUCAUUAGUUUGAACUUCGUUUUGAUGCUGGUCCUCCCCUUCUUGAACUUCAUUGUCCUCAGUGAUCUUUUCUGUUGGCUGGUUGUUGAUCAAUUUCCUUUCACUACGGAGUGUGACUGCGUGUGCAUAUUCCUUGGAAUUUUGAAUGGCCUUUCCUAGAUGUUGUCCUGUAUACGUUGAGGAGGUAUUGAAAACAGCUUGUCAUUCCAUGUAUGUCAUUUUAGAUGUGAGAUCCUCAUAUUUGCUUCUUAACGCAUUGUAGGAACAGUCAACUUUACUAUUAAUCUCAGCCAAUUGUUUUUCCAGAACUAGAGCUCUAGUAGUUUGACCCUGGAUGAUUUGUUGAAGCAUUCGUUUUGUGUCAGGAUCUUGAGCUACUGGUGCUUGUUGUGGUUGUUAAGUGAAUCCUGGUGGUGGAUUCUGCUGUUGGUAGCCUCCAUUAAACUGUUGUGUAGGGACAUAGCCUUGGUUGUAUUGAACAAAUGGCUUAGACUGAUUCUAUUGUGGUGGAUACACUUGAUCUUGAGGGUUAGCUACAUUAGUGCUUCUGUAGGAGAGGUUUGGGUUGGGCUUGUAGUUGUUGUACCCCUUGUUGAACCCUCCUUGGUUCUGGAUGUAGCACAGCUCUUCAGUUUGGUCAUUCCCCCCUUCUUGCAUUUGGAAGUGCUCCUCAUCAGUGAUGUAGUGUAUCUGCUUCUGCUGAGCCAGCAGCAGCUUGUCUAGCUUUUCAUUCAGAGCCUUGAUAUCCUUGCUCUUUUUAUCCUCACUUCCUCCAGUUCCUCUCAUUGAGCGAUCAUAGUCUUCAUUGUAGCACCCAUCAGAUUGUGCUACAUUUUCGACCAACUCCCAUCCUUCUGCUACAUCCUUGUUCAGGAAGUUUUCAUUGGAGGCAGUGUCAAGUAGCAUUCUGAUCUUUGGUAAAGCUCCUCUGUAGAGUGUGCUUAGUAAUGAAGCCUUCUUAAAACCGUGAUGGGGGCACUGAGUAGUGUAGCUCUUAAACUUCUCCCAAGCUUCACAAAAAGUUUCAUUGUUUUCCUGGUUGAAACCUGAGAUCUCGUUCCUCAAUCUAGCGGUGCGAGCGUUAGAGAAGAACUUGGCGAGAAAAGCUUUCUUACAAUCGUCCCAUGAGGUGAGUCUGGGGGUAGAGUCUUCUCCCAGUGGUGUGCCUUGUCUCCCAAAGAGAAGGGGAAUAGUCUGAGCUUAAACAUAUCUUCAGUGACACCAUUGAUCUUGGUAAGGCCACAGAGCCUAUCAAAGCUGUCAAGAUGGUCUGGGGGUCUUCCAUAGGUAGACCAAGAAACUUGUUUCCUUGGAUCAUUGAGAUGAGACCACUCUUGAUCUCAAAGUUGUUGUUCUGAACUGGUGGAGGCACUAUCCCUUGUCUUUGGUGAUGAUUCCUUGGGGCAUCACCAGCACCAAUGUUUCUUGGUUGAUCAACAUUAGGUGGGUCUUGAACAUCAACUGGUCUGUUAUGUUGAUCAAUAGCAGGUGGUCUGUUCUGAUCACAAGCUGCCUUUGCUUUGGUUUCUUGUAACUCACGAGCUAUUUUGUCAAUUCUGUCUCUGAAUGGUAGUAGGUGUGCAGAACCUUUGGAUCGAGUUUGCAUGCACAAAGAUUAGUACCUAUACCACAAAAACAAGCAGACGAAAAUAUGAGUUCGUAACUUGAUAAAUGUAAAAGAACUUGAUCUUAAAAGUUUCUGAUAUCUUGAAUGUAACAAUGCAACUAUGAAUUGGCAACGGCGCCAAAUUGAUAAACAGGUUUUUCAGGCCUGCUUAUGUUGAAUGUGUGAUUCAGUUCAAUUCCCCUACAACACAAACAUGUCGAUGCAGCUAUAGGGGGUGUCAAUCCAGUCCACUGUAUUGCUAGCAAUCAAGAUGUGUAAAGAAACAAUUAAGUCAAGCCAGAUUAUAAAGAUGGUGGGUUUCUAGUAACAAUCCUAGGUCAGGAUUCAAACAAGUGAAAGAAAGAGAACUUAAGAGCCCUACUCGAUCAUUGGGUCGAGUAGAACCAACAGACAACAAAAUUAAAUAACCUAAAUGCAAUCAACAGGGGAUACAAAUAACAGGUAAAUAAAAUUGCAAUCAACAUGGGAUACAAAUAAAUCUAAUAGAAGUUCUAAGGAUGGAUUCAUUGAUAAGGGCAACUCUAGGGUUCAUCAAAUGGCUAAUAGGCGAAAGGUAGAUACCCAUGACGAUAGAUUCAAAAAUCGGGUCAAUCCACUCUCGUGACAGAGACCCCCAUAACUCUACCACUUCCUAAUCUCAACUCUCGUUGAUGAAACAUGGAAGAGCGGGGUUUAAGAAACAAUCUACCAAAGUCAAUAGGCAGACAAGCCAAUCCCUUGGUCGAGUCUACAAAUCUCUGGAAUUCGUAGGUCAGACAUCCAUUUGAACGUCUUUUGGACGCUGGACGUCUAUGAUCGAAUCUCCACAUUAGCAAGCGAUAAUCGCAUAGGGGCCAAGCGAAUCCAGAAGGGUAUAAACCUAAACACUAACCACCUAACUAACCUAGAGAUUACCAUAAUCUAAUCCAUCCUCAAGAUCCCUAAUCACUACUCAAGCAACAUUCUCAAUAACACAAACCCAGAAAUUACUAAAAUCAUACCAAAAUGUAGAUCUAAACAAGCUAAGCAACUUUACUUCAACAAUCAAAUGCAAAAAAGAAAUAGAUUAAGAGUAAUUAAGGUUUCAAGAUUCAUAAACACAAAGAAAAACUGAAAGAUAAAGCAUAGAUCCUUUGGACAAAUCCCAAAGUGAUCUAUUUAUACUAAAAUGUUGGAAAUCCUAGAUUCACUAGACGACAAGAGACUUGAGGCGGUUUGAGCGAAUACUCGAUCUUGGGGAUCGCGUAAAGAGGGUGCUCCAAAGUUUGCGUAAAGACAUAGCAUAUAUAUACUAACAAAUAAAACUACACAAUUAAUUGAAAAUAUAUACAAUAAAUUAUAAAUUACAAAACUACAAGAAAACAAAUAUAUACAAAGUUUUUAAAUAUACCUACCAUACAUAUAUAUUUUGAAAUUUGAAAUAUUAAAUUUCUAUAUAGAUGUUUUUUAUAUUUGAGAAAUU